rnacentral:lncRNA from 1 species
GGAGCAUUGGGCCCUCCAGUCCGUUUUUUGGCAAUGGAGCCUGAUGUCUUUCUCCACGAUAUCGUGGGUAAACACUUGGUCCUUGUCUGUUUUUUGAUAACGGAAUACCCUCUAUGGUGGUUUGAGAACGGCAUUCAUUAGCCCAAUGUUUCCCUCUACGGCAUCGUGGGCAAAUACCCGGUAUUCUAUUCCUUUGAUACCUAGCCUUGUUAAACCCUCCUCCUAUGGGGCAACUCCUUUUAAAAUGUCCUGUUUGAUCACAAUUAUAGCAUGUUUUUGGCCUGGCAUCUAAAGCCUGUUGUACUGCUGCUAAGACUUGCCCUUGUUCAUUAAUGUCUCUACAUAAUUUAAUAUAUGUGUUUAAAUCUUCAUGUUUCCAUGGUCUGAUGACCUCUCUGCAGCAACGAUUUGCUUGGUCAUAAGCCAGUUGUUUUAUAAAUGGCAUUGCCUGUUCUGUAUCUCCAAAUACUCUAGAUGCUGUCUGAAUAAGCCUAUCUACAAAUUCAGCGUAAGGUUCAUUAGCUCCUUGUAUUACCUUAGAUAAUUGUCCUUGUAAAUCUCCAUGCCCCUGUAAAGUUUUCCAUGCCUUAAUUGCAUCUACAGCAAUUUGUGCGUAUACGCCAGGAUCAUAUUCAAUUUGUUGCCGUUGACCCUCAUAAGGUCCUUUUCCUAAUAACAUAUCUAGAUUUCUUUGAGGGUAACCGGCUGCUGCAUUUCGCCUAGCUGUCUCCAUGCAAAAUUCCUCAUUGGCAACCUUCCAUAACAAAUAUUGUCCUCCAUUUAGCACAGAUCUACACAUGUUAGCCCAAUCUGCUGGCGUCAUGUCUAAGUUGGUAAUGGAUUCGACCAUGCUCACAGUGAAGGGUGCUUGUGGCCCGUAGGUUGUUACAGCCUCCUUUAAUUGCUUCACUGUUUUGAAAUCUAAAGCACGGUGAAUUCGUUGCCCUCCUGCCUGCUCAAGUACAGGGCAUGCUAAUCUUUGGGGUCCUGCCUCAGGAUUCCGUCCAUCAACUACGGGAGUUGAGGGCCGCUCAGCUGUAGAUGGAGCUGUUGGUUGAAUUACGCCCUCUGGUGAUAGAACGGGGUUAGUAGCAGCCUCCUGUUGUAAUUCCCCGCCUGAUGGUUGUUUUUCCUCUAAGCUUUCUUUCUUCAAAUCUUCCUCUGUCUGACUAGCUCGAGAGACCUUCUCUUUCGCUUGACCUAACAUGUUUUCUACCAUAGUCUGGACCUCUAACAAUUUACUUAACAGUCUUUCGGUUUGUUUUUUACUAGUUUCUAAUCUACUAUAAAGGUAACGCAACCCAAUAAGAUAGCAUAAAACAAAACCGAAACAGAAUGAAACAAAAACCAAACAAAGAAUAGUUGUAUCAAUUUUCUCUUUCUCAGGGCCGAACAACUUCAAACCUUGAGCCAACCAUUUUCCCCAGUUUGCCUGAGAAAAUUUUAGGGAUAGGCAGCUUGAAACAAAAACAAGAUGAAUCAAAACGAGAACACAUUGUUUUUUGAAAUGGUCACCCAUUUUGUUGCCUUCCCUCAGGGGCGAGCAAUUUUACUCACCUCCAAGCUUUAGGCGUUCCCCGUACGGGCCACCAGUUGCCGCAGUCUGGCUGCCACAAAAUCACGAGCCACUCAAGCAGGAACAAACUUUAUUUUUUGAAACUGCCGCCAAUGUCCAGUACACGCCCGGGAAGAUUUUUUGAUCCACCCACGCGGCCUCCUCCCUGAACCGCCAGAGAGAGCUCCUCCCCUGGAACUCCCUCCUGUACUUCCCCAACCAAUGGGAACUCUCCAGGAGUCCCGUAGUAGGCCUAGGUGAACAGCAGGAGUCCAAUAUCUAUAUGAAUGCAAAUCUUAACAUAAUCAUAUCAUCUCAAUGGCUAGCUGGCGUCACCUUUCAACCAAAAAUGCCAUGCAUCAUAUACUUGGCUCUUAGCAGGCAGCAGAAUGCAUUACAAUUCACAUUACACAUAUAGAACACGACUUUUCAAAUCUCUGGUUGUAUACAAAGUAUAUUCACACCAUUUGUGUCUUCA